CACUCUCUUUGAUUUUAACGCCAUUUUCGAAGACAGGCAAACAUUUGGUUACGCAGCUUACGCUCGAAAAGUUGAAGACGACGGUCUGCCAUUCGCGCCGCUCGCUCUCGAUCACCGGAGUUUGGUGAUUCACUGUAGUUGCUUCUCAGAUGGCUUCGAAUAUCCAAGGUAAUGCCUGGACGAUUACUUGAACAAUUGUGAGUAGGGUUUAUGAAAAUCCCAAAAUAGUUUCGAUUUUGCUGUGAUAUUCUCGUCGAGCAUUGCAAUGGUGAGGUCGAUGAGGGCCUUCUUGGCGCGGCGGAACUAGCCCUCACCGAUGCUGCGCUGGUUGUCGAGGGCGCAGAGCACGAUCUCGAGCUGCUUCUGCCAGUGGCGAAUCUGCUCGAUGCCGUCGCGGAUGGCGUUACAGACGUCGAGCGCCUUGACGCUGCGCUCGAAGAAAUCAGUAAUGUACUUGUCCAUGGGGGGUUUGGCGAGGCUGCUCUUGUGGUUGAAGACGAUCAAUCGGAAUUCUUCAUGGACGCAGAGGAAUGUGUCGAGGAGCUUGCGGAUCCAUGGGAUCGAGAGGAGCUCGUCCGAGGGGGCUGCAGCCAAGUCCUGGAAGCGCUCCGCCACUGUGGAGUAUAAAUUUUGCCUGACGAUUUUGCUGUGAUAUUGUGAUAUUGUGAUAUAAAUUCUAUGAACUCGAAAGUUAUAUUUGAUUGGUUGUGGAGUAUGAUGAAGUGUCUUUCACCAUUUUGAUUUCAGCUUAUUUCAGCUUAUUUCAAUUAUUUCAAUUAUGUCGUUCUAUUAACAUUCUUGAGAUCGUAUGAUCUGCAUUUAUAGGGUAUAUUUUGACGACUUGCAUUUUGUUGUAUUUGGUUAGGACUUGAGUCAGGUACCAGCGAUACGAGUCGCUCCCAGGCAAAUAAAACCCAACAGACUCGCCGAUCAUGGUCUACGAAGGAAGAGCUUGUGUUGUUGUCUGCUUUGAAGGAAUUAGUAGCACAAGGAUGGAAGUCGGACAAUGGGUUCCGGGCUGGGUUUCUCGGUAAACUUGAGGAUGCCUUGAAGAAGGAGUUUCCGAGCACCGAUCUGAAAGCUACACCACAUAUCAAUUCAAAGAUUGGAUCUUGGAAAAAAUUCUACAAUUCGUUGGUUACCAUGUUGGACAAAAGUGGGAUGUGCAAUUUAAAUGGGGAUUAUAUGAUCGAUUGUAGCAACGAUCAGUGGGAGCAUAUCGUUAAUGUAAGUGCUGCGAUUAAACUCAUUUGAAAUAUCUCAACUUUCUGCAUUUAAUAUUAUUUUUAUUUAUCCUUUUAACUUCAUAGACUUCCUGCUCAUGAUUUUGGGGGCUGUAUUGGAAUAUUCCUUCAUUUCACAUUAACAAGAUGCACAAAACCUAACUGUUCUUACCAUUGCUAGAAAUGCCUCUACUUGAAAAUGUUUAUACUUCUUUAUGUAGAAGGUAGGAAUGCAGGUUGAAUAUUUAACAGAAACAAAGUAGAUUAUUAGUUUUGAAUAUUGUAUCAGUGUGUGGAUGCUAUAUAUUUAAUAUAUGCAUGUGUAUGCAUAGGAAGAUGAGGUUAGAGGACACGCAAUAUGCUCGAUAUGUGACUGUAACCUUUAUGUCAUACCCAUCUCAUUGUCUUAUGCCUACUGACCAUAUUCUUCUAUAUUUGAUAUUACUGACCUUAUUUUUCCGUACAUUUGUGACAUUCUACUUUAGAUGCUAGGUCAAUAUACAUUUGUUUUCGAAGGUUAUAUUGUAGUAUACAAUGUUGGUAUUUACUUUCAUGGUAGGUAGAUUGUUAUCUGAAUUCUUACUGAUUCUCAGUUUUUAUAAUCGUCAUGAUCUAAUAUUUAACACAAAAGACUACAUUUUUCUUCUUAAUGCCUUCAAUUUUCCAGUUUCUAGUCUGAAAAGGAUAAUGGGAUUUAGUUUAAAAAUUACAAGUUGUAUGUAUCGUAGUGCUAAAUUUCUUGUUGCAGUUUCUGAAUGAAAGCUAGUAAUAAGUCCUUUGAAUAAAAGUUUCAUUUAGAAACAGAAAGUGUUCUUGAUUGAGGGGUGUUCUUGAUCUAUCUGACGAGUGUUGUAAUCUUCCUUGAUUCAUAGUAAUAAUAUCUUCGACUCACUUCCCGUGGAUGCAGGAUAAGCAAUUAUCGAACCAUGUAACCUUACUGUGUGUUAUACUUUGAGUUCUUACUCUUCAUUCUUGCUGCUGCGUUUUCAUAUUCUGAUCUUCAUUGUGUUGGUGGAUUGAAAUCGGUUGUGUAAAUCGCUUUUGGAUCUUCAAGUUAUUGUGUGUAUGUAAAUAACCAUUGUUUGAAUUGUUUUGUAGUGCGAUCCGGGGGCGCGCGGUAUGCGUAAGAAGAGCUGGCCUCUCUUUGAGGAUUGGAAAGAGAUAUUUGGCAAAGAUCGCGCGAAUGGAAAAACGGCACAGGACUUGAUGGACGCCAUCAACGACAUGACAUCUCGUGACAAUCUUGCACGGGAUGCAAUUCCGAAAGAGCACGGACAAAAUGUAGAAGGAGAAGAUGAGAUUGACAUUGAUGUUGCCGAGAAUAGUGUAUGUCAAAGUGAAAAGGUUAGUGAAAGGCCACAGUCAUCGCGUAAGAAGCGCAAACAAGAUGAAUCUCUAGACAGAUUGUAUGCUGUGCUCGUUCAGCUCGGGCAAAACACGGACAAGCGGCUUGAACACAUGUGUAAUAGGACUGGAUACGAGUUUGACCUUAGCAAGGCCCGUACCGAAGUCUAUGAAACAUUAAGCGCGAUCCAAAACCUUUCAAAGAAGGACAAAUUCGAAGUAUACGAGAUAUUGACUGACAAAGUGGAGAGACUCGAGCUAUUUAUGGGUCUCCCAAAAGAAGCUAGAAUGGACUAUUUGCUUUAUGUUCUCGACACUCGCAAGAAGUAGAAUCUGACUGCCGGAAGAUUAUUUCGCCGCUUUUCUCUUAUUUAGGAUCUGGAACGCAUCUAGGCUUUGUGUCAUUAUCUAGUUUUUAUACACAUUCAUCAGCUUAUAAUUAUUUGUUGAAUUGUUGCUAAUUUCCGUUGAGAGUUGUUGCUUCUUUUGCUCACGACGGCGGAUUUGUGGUGUAACGGAUGUGUGUCUAAAGAAGAAACGGCAGAACAUCUUCUGGUGGAUUGUCCGAAAACGGAACAGGUUUGGGAUGAUAUUGUUGCGUGGGCUGGCUUUCCCUCGGCGAGACCGAGGACUUUGGUUCAACACUUCGAGUGGUUUAUACAUCUUGGCAGAGGAAAAAGGAGUGGGAAGUUGCUUCAAGCUCUGUGGCUUUGCACGGUUUGGGUGUUGUGGAAGAGACGCAAUGAAACCAGAUUUGAAGGAAAAAACUUGGGUUUAUGAGGAGGUGGCGAUGGAAAUUAAAGGAAGGCUAUGGAGUUGGAACGAAGCAUUUAGAAUAUGGGCAACGGAUGUUAGUUUCUCUUUUUGGUGUUCAAAAAAUUUCUUUCUUUCUUCAUGUAUGAAUCUUUAGGUACCCCUGGUACCGGUGGUUUUUAAUAAAAUUCCUUUUUCCUAUCAAAAAAAAAAAAAAAAAGUUGUUGCUUCUUUUGCUAAGUACUAUUCCACAUGGAAGACAAUUUAUUUGAAAGGAUUGGCUCCCAUAAGUUCUAGUUUUAUUUACUGAAUUCAGAUUGGCUCUUAUGUAUAACUUGACUUUGGGCAAUGAUUAAUUUUUCUUUCAUUGGGAAGGAUAAAUGAAAGAUGCCAAGAAAAAAACAUCGAUGAAAGAUAUUGAAGUUUCUGUUCUCUUUCUUGUGGUUUGCUUGAGACUGUUUCUGUCAAAAGCACGUUGGUUUGCACCUAAUUGCAGAUCUGGAAAAUUGGCUUAUCGCUAUGUUGUGUUAAGGCUCAAAAAUUAAGCAAAGAUGAGUCGAAGCAGCAAGACAUGCAAUUGCUAAUGAUGUCCUUCAACGGCUUGCUUGAGAUGCUCGAGAUCUAAAACUGUUUGGUUUUAUCUUCAGAAUGUGUACUCGUAAAUGAUUGGAAAAUGUAAAAAGGGUGCAAAGUAAGUAGAUGUUUUCUUGGGAAAAUGGUCCAAUGUACUUUGGGAAGUAUUAUCAAUUUUAGAUGCCUUGUCGGUGUUGUGGUUAUUGGAAGAUACUAUUAAUUAUUGUUUUCUGACUGUUGUUUUUUGAAGCUAGUUGGAGUAUAAUUAGGCAAAAGAUUAUUCAUAUAGUGUAGUAAAUGAUUGACAUUGUGAAAAAAUGAACACAUCAUACUGAAAAAAGCAAACACCUUUUCGUUUAUAUCAAAGGGAAAAUAGACGAUGGAACCAAAAUCAAACACUGCAUAUUAAGUUGGUCACUAAUAUACCAAACAACCCGAGUUCAUGACCGUGGGACUGUAUAAAUUUAGCAACGUGGAAAUCCUCCAUUGGUCAAUAAUAAAAAGCAAUUAAUGAUGUCAAUCAUCAUAGAGGCCGUAUGACUCCGGAAAUGCUACUGAUUGCUAAAGUUAUCCUGAGAUUGAACACAUAAGACAGCGUGUCUUCUAUAAAAUUAAUGUCAGAUCAAACAUCAAGCUCGAUUUAUGCGCGCCAUAACAUAUAACCACCACAAGGAGAACAACACCCCAAAAAGAUAUUAGAAUAACAAGGAGAAUAACAUAUAGCUCAACUAGUCCAGAAUGCACAAAAAGAUAUUAGAAACACAUGAAUUGUUGAUUCAACAAAAGAAGUGCAUACGGCAUCAAGAAUUCAGAAUUUAGAACCCUCAGCAUCCAAGAAUAACAUCAAAAUAUCCUUACAUCUCAAAAGGGGCAAUAGCAACAACUGUAACAACUUUCCACAAGAGAACACAAACUCACAUGUUUAAAACAACACAAACUAUCCCUUAGCUCGAACUCACAUGUACCCUUCAAAUUAAAAGUGAGAAUCCACAACCUGUAACAUCAGAUAUAAAUCAAGCAAAUAUACCCUAUAUAUCACAAGUUCAGCAAGAACAUACAAUGUCGCAAGUUCGAGAUAAAAUCAUCAAUAAAAAACCUCUCUUGAAAUUCAGCAUUAAAUUCAGCGAGAUUUGGCUAGUAUUUAAUUCAAAGGGACGGCACCAAAUCACAAAUCGAUACAAUCUCGAACUGCAAUACAUAUGAGGAAUCGGCGCAAAGAAUUACCUGGGUGGAAAGGAGCAAGAUGAGUCCGACGCAGCAAAUCAAUUUGCUCCGACAAAAUUCCGGUAUGGAGAGACUCGAACUCAAUUUGUGAAGCAACGACUUCGAAGAUAAUCGAAACAACGACUUCAGAAAUCAAUUUGUGAAG
rnacentral:lncRNA from 1 species